UACGGAGGGUGCAAGCGUUAAUCGGAAUUACUGGGCGUAAAGCGCACGCAGGUGGUUCGUUAAGUUGGAUGUGAAAUCCCCGGGCUCAACCUGGGAACUGCAUUCAAAACUGUCGAGCUAGAGUAUGGUAGAGGGUGGUGGAAUUUCCUGUGUAGCGGUGAAAUGCGUAGAUAUAGGAAGGAACACCAGUGGCGAAGGCGACCACCUGGACUGAUACUGACACUGAGGUGCGAAAGCGUGGGGAGCAAACAGG
rnacentral:rRNA from 1 species